rnacentral:rRNA from 1 species
GAUGAACGCUGGCGGCGUGCCUAAUACAUGCAAGUCGAGCGAACGGACGAGAAGCUUGCUUCUCUGAUGUUAGCGGCGGACGGGUGAGUAACACGUGGAUAACCUACCUAUAAGACUGGGAUAACUUCGGGAAACCGGAGCUAAUACCGGAUAAUAUUUUGAACCGCAUGGUUCAAAAGUGAAAGACGGUCUUGCUGUCACUUAUAGAUGGAUCCGCGCUGCAUUAGCUAGUUGGUAAGGUAACGGCUUACCAAGGCAACGAUGCAUAGCCGACCUGAGAGGGUGAUCGGCCACACUGGAACUGAGACACGGUCCAGACUCCUACGGGAGGCAGCAGUAGGGAAUCUUCCGCAAUGGGCGAAAGCCUGACGGAGCAACGCCGCGUGAGUGAUGAAGGUCUUCGGAUCGUAAAACUCUGUUAUUAGGGAAGAACAUAUGCGUAAGUAACUGUGCUCAUCUUGACGGUACCUAAUCAGAAAGCCACGGCUAACUACGUG